rnacentral:lncRNA from 1 species
GUAGGCAUUUGUAACUUGGUUUAAUGAUACUCUUGCAUGAUUAUUGAUGCUUGUUGAUGCUUAUAAUACUCAUUGCUAUUCGUUGAAGAUUGUUAAUCAUGUAUGAAGUAAUAAAUGAAGAAUAUUAAGGUUUUGUUAAAUCUUAAUGAUGAAGUAUGUUGGAUAGUGUUCCACAUAAUAAAUGAAGAGCUUAUGCUAAUGAUUUGUGAGUGAAUUCAUGAACACAUAUACAUGCAUUCAUGAAUUAAAUAGGAUAUUGGAUAUUCCAAUAAAGAAGUAUAUCGGAUUAUAUUUAUCCGAUAAAGAAGGAUAUUAGAGGUGAGAUACUCUAAUAAAGAAGAUGGUACCACAUGCAUUAGUAAUGUCUAGGAUUGACAUUCAUGAAGUUGAAGCAUUAGAGUUGCAUUAGGUUAUAUGUGUGCAUUACCUGAUAAGUGAUAUGUGACAUAUAAUUUGGCCAAGCGUAAUGAAUUGUAGAUUGAUUAUGUGGUACUUGAUUAUACAUGUUUAGAACUUGUAAUUGAGUAGUUAAUGGUGAUGCAUGUUUAUAAAUUAUG